rnacentral:lncRNA from 1 species
UUAGGUCCUCUUUUCUAAUCAACAACACGAUGGAGCAAACAAAGUGAUGCUGACCUACUUAGCAACUCUAAGAAUUAGAGUGCAUACACAUUCAAACAAAAUGUCAUGGCAAUUUAAGUAUUGUUAGGUUUCAAAAAUCCUUAAGGGCAUUAAAAAUAAAAAAAAAAUCCAUAAAAAAUAUAGUAUAGGACAUCCCAUUUUUAGAAAUCAAUUUCCAAGCAACUUAGUCUAAGCUAACUUCACCCA